rfam:Pseudomonas sp. TTT2014-080ASC scaffold_2, whole genome shotgun sequence.
GUCAAAGGUGGUGCGGCACCAUAAGUGCAGCAUCGUAUGCGCAAUACCUAAAACGAAGACGGUAGACAAG